rnacentral:rRNA from 1 species
GUGUCAGCAGCCGCGGUAACACGUAGGGGCCAAGCGUUGUCCGGAUUUAUUGGGCGUAAAGAGCUCGUAGGCGGUUCGACAAGUCGGGUGUGAAAACUCCGGGCUCAACCCGGAGACGCCACCCGAUACUGUCGUGACUGGAGUCCGGUAGGGGAGUGGGGAAUUCCUGGUGUAGCGGUGAAAUGCGCAGAUAUCAGGAGGAACACCGGUGGCGAAGGCGCCACUCUGGGCCGGUACUGACGCUGAGGAGCGAAAGCGUGGGUAGCAAACAGGAUUAGAUACCCUGGUAGUCCACGCCGUAAACGUUGGGCACUAGGUGUGGGUCGUUAUCAACGCGAUCCGUGCCGUAGCUAACGCAUUAAGUGCCCCGCCUGGGGAGUACGGCCGCAAGGCUAAA